rnacentral:misc_RNA from 1 species
GAAUCUUCUGAGGAGGAGCUUGAUGAAGACUGGGGGAAGAAGGCAAAGAAGGUUCAUUUGAGGAAUUCAGAUAAGAAGCACUCUAAGAAGCAUAGAAAGAAGGAAAGAUCUAGGGAUAAGAAAAAGAAUAAGGAGAAAAGAAGAAAACACUAGUAUACUUUCUUCUGUGUAGUUUAGAUUCCACCCAUUGUUCACUAGUUAAUCGUGAUAAAUUUGUAUAAUAAUAUUUAUUGUUUGUACGGAUGCAUUAUCUAAUUCGAAUUUAAGAUUUUGAGGCGG